rnacentral:rRNA from 1 species
UACGUAGGGGGCAAGCGUUGUUCGGAAUUACUGGGCGUAAAGGGCGCGUAGGCGGCCAACUAAGUCAGACGUGAAAUCCCUCGGCUCAACCGGGGAACUGCGUCUGAUACUGGAUGGCUUGAAUUCGGGAGAGGGAUGCGGAAUUCCAGGUGUAGCGGUGAAAUGCGUAGAUAUCUGGAGGAACACCGGUGGCGAAGGCGGCAUCCUGGACCGAGAUUGACGCUGAUGCGCGAAAGCCAGGGGAGCAAACGGG